rnacentral:rRNA from 1 species
UACGUAGGUGGCAAGCGUUGUCCGGAAUUAUUGGGCGUAAAGCGCGCGCAGGCGGUUCUUUAAGUCUGAUGUGAAAGCCCACGGCUCAACCGUGGAGGGUCAUUGGAAACUGGAGAACUUGAGUACAGAAGAGGAAAGCGGAAUUCCACGUGUGGCGGUGAAAUGCGUAGAGAUGUGGAGGAACACCAGUGGCGAAGGCGCUUUCUGGUCUGUAACUGACGCUGAGGCGCGAAAGCGUGGGGAGCAAACAGG